GAAAUGCGAUAAGUAGUGUGAAUUGCAGAAUUCAGUGAAUCAUCGAAUCUUUGAACGCACAUUGCGCCCUUUGGUAUUCCUUAGGGCAUGCCUGUUCGAGCGUCAUUUAAACCUUCAAGCUCAGCUUGGUGAUGGGUGACUGUCCCCCCCCCCCGGGGACUCGCCCCAAAUACAUUGGCGGCCGGUACAUUGGCUUCGAGCGCAGCAGAAACGCGGUCUCGAGCCCGGUGGAUCGGCUCCCAGAAGCCUCUUCUUUAUUUUGACCUCGGAUCAGGUAGGGAUACCCGCUGAACUUAAGC
rnacentral:misc_RNA from 1 species